UAGGGAAUCUUCGGCAAUGGACGAAAGUCUGACCGAGCAACGCCGCGUGAGUGAAGAAGGUUUUCGGAUCGUAAAACUCUGUUGUGAGAGAAGAACAAGGACGUUAGUAACUGAACGUCCCCUGACGGUAUCUAACCAGAAAGCCACGGCUAACUACGUGCCAGCAGCCGCGGUAAUACGUAGGUGGCAAGCGUUGUCCGGAUUUAUUGGGCGUAAAGCGAGCGCAGGCGGUUUCUUAAGUCUGUUGUGAAAGCCCCCGGCUCAACCGGGGAGGGUCAUUGGAAACUGUGAGACUUGAGUGCAGAAGCGGAGAGUGGAAUUCCCUGUGUAGCGGUGAACUGCGUAGAUAUAUGGAGGAACACCAGUGGCGAAGUCGGCUCUCUGGUCUGUAACUGACGCUGAGGCUCGAAAGCGUGGGGAGCAAACAGG
rnacentral:rRNA from 1 species